CGAAUUCCUCCCUGACUGGCGGCGCUUCCCCCUUCCUGUAAAGCUCCAGCGCUGGGAGUCCUGCCGUUUCCUCCCGUGGUGGCGGGGGAAGGGGGACGUGUGGCACAUCCCCAGUGUCGAGGGGUGCUAGGGCUCGGUUCCGCCAGGCCUAGGAGAAGGGUGAAAACCUUCAGGCCGCUUUUAGCAAAAGCAGCUAGCUCAGGGCAGGAGAGGUCAUGCUUGUCUCAAGCGCCCGGAGAGAGGGCAGCCACCUGCGGCCCUGGGGACCUGCAGCAGUGGCCCAGGAGCCUGUGAGUCCAGAAAACAUAAGGCAGUGCUGGACAACUGCAGCUCUAUGUUUUAAGUACUGUGACAGUGAAUUGCUGAGCAAGAGAGAACAUUCCGAGUCCCAAAAUAGAAGGCAGUCAAGCAUGGAUGUGUGAUAAUGAUUUCUUCAUAGAAACCCAUGACAAAUGGAAGGAAGUGAUGAGUUGACAACAGAUGCUGAUUCUGCACCAGAAGGCUCACAGUGGACAACUUUGAUUCACUUCAGAGUGUAUUCAGUUGAGAAAGAGAAACUAAGAAGGUGGAUCAGAAACAGAAUUGGAGCUAUUUUAUCUGGACCUAAUUAAACAACCUUCAUUACUGGCAGCUCCUGGAACAUAAAAAAAUCUGUGUGAAGCUAGCUGAGAGUUUUGCAAGCGUAUCUGAAUGGCGAAUCAACUGAGCUCCUUAUAAAACUGUGUAGGACCAGACUGGAACUUCAAAUGUGUGCAGACACAGCCUUCCUGCAGAGAUGGUGAGAGGAGUACUGCAGAAACUCUCCUUCCGCACUGGGACUAAUUCAGAAGCAGUGUGCGAUUGUGAACAUCUGACCUGCAAUUCCACCUCCAAUGCAGAGGAAAAGGGACAUUUGUGCAGACUGUUUCUGGUCACCUAUGCUAAGCAGCUCCCUGGCUCCUGCAGAUGCAAACAUUUGAAUUUCCUGUUGGCUCAGAGUGUUUGCAUUGCAAGUGACAUCUGGCUGACAGGAACUUGGAGAAAUGGGAUAUGAAGUGAAUGCUGCAGUUACCACAGCAUCGUAUUUAUCAAAAGGCUUAAGGAUCCUAAAAAGAGACCUGUGUUACGAGAUAAUGGACUUCCUGGGAAUGACUGUUAUGCCCCUCUCUUCUUGAAAGAGGACUGUCUGCUGCAUUUCCACUCUUCAGAUACCUGAUGUAUUACUUCAGCAGCAAAUUCAACAAGGCCAAGAUGUCUUCAUUUUCCUUCAGAGCAAGAACUGUAAGAGCAGUAUUACAGGAGUAUUGGUCUUCUGUGGCCAGCCAGCAAGAACCCAUCAACAGCUGUGAUGAGCAGAGCAGACAUGGGGAGACGGGAGGCAGCUGAAGCCAAAGAGGACCCAUGCCUGGAGCUGUGUGUGUGAUUGGAGCAGAGAGGCCAGGACCCAAGGAAAUCCCAGCAGCAAGGGAAAAAAACAGAUUGACUCUCAGUGACUCAUUUAGCUCCUGGAUUGGACAGAUCUCUCCCCUGCUGGCAAUUUGGCAGAGCAUCAAUGGACAGAUACCAGGAUGAAUAGCUUAAAAUAAUUAGGGGUUGGGAAUCUGCAAAACUGCUAGCCAUCCAGUUCUUUACUGUGCAAUGCGAGGCACAAAAAAGAAAUUACAUUUAGGUUAUUAAAUAUUAAGUCAGUGGAUUUACCUCCAUUUGGUCCAGAACAGGAAACUGGCUAAAAUUCAACAUUUGUAUCAUUGUGUUGAUGGCCUGUUUAUCACUGAACAAGUGAGUGUCUUUUGGCAGGUCAAGCUCUUUGACACAUGGUGCGAAUGUGUGCUUAGUUUCUCACAAAAAGAAGAAUUAAUAUAAUAAUAAUUAACACAGAUGAGAACACAGAAUUAAAAUCAAGUACAGUCAAGAGUUCAGUUUAAUGCCAGGUAUCUCACAUUCUAGAUGUUGUGGGGGCAGAUUUUUUCCCGUUGAAGAUAGUGAGAUUUGCCAUUGGCACUGAUGAGAGCCAGAGUGGGUCUUGAAUGCUGAGAGACAGGAUUCCCUGUACUUUCUGUUUAAUGCUCAAAACCAGAAGCAACAGGCUCAUUUAGUAUCAGUAAAGGUCAGUUAAAAUUAUAGAGACAUCCUUUGGAGCAAAUCCUCUGCCUUGUAUUUGCAUAUUUAUGAACUGGAGAUUACGACAGGCUAUUCCAUUUAUUAGAGCAGUGUCGCUAUAGUUAAUAGUCUGUCAGUAUUUCCAUUAUAAACCCCGUUUUUCAGUGUUUUAAUAUCUCAGCCAUUUUAAAUCACAUCAGGAAGCAAGUCGGUCUUUUGUUGUCAGCCAGGUGCAAUUUUUUGUUUUGGAUAAUUUUCAGUAAUCAAAUACUGUUCAUCAGAAAUGUAUAUGAGCCACAUCAUUUCUUUUUGGGGAACUAGCAAAGUGCUUAAGUUCAUUGCAGCUUUGUUUUUCUUUAGAAAAGAAGGAAAAGGAAAGAUUUGACCAAUCAUGUCAACUGGGGCUUCACAUUUGAAGAAUAGCUUCUCAAUUAACUGCUCUCAGAAGAAACACUGGUUCUCAACGUGAAAUCAGGUGGCUGUAUGCUUGCCAGCAGUGACCAAGGCACACAGAUGAGGAUGACUUCCCCGUCCCUCAGAAAUGUCUUGUCUGCCGGAGUCAUGGGCAAAGCACACCAGGUGUUUCCAGAGCUACUAUGUCUGCACAAGUUCCAGAAACCUCAUGAUGAAGUGACUGCUUUCACAUCUCGGAUUCAAGCCCCUUAAAGGAUUUGAGGAAAACUCUUCAGUGCUGUGGGCAAUGAAGAACAAAUGUGACCAUUUAGAAUGGUGAGGAAGAAGAGCUUUCAGAGCUAACUAAGAGUUAACUGACUACGUUUCAACUGUUACCGUUGUCAUAUCUACAUAGAGAGCAGAAGAGAACUGGAGAGAUUUGAUUAGCUGGCACCUGCCCUCUAUUGAAAGAUGAUCACAAUGCACCUGAAGAAUUGCAGUAAUAAGCCAGUCAAGAGGCUUUCCAGGAUGGACCCAUAGAGACUGCAGUCUGGAUCAAUAGUGUCCUUCUCUCAAGUGGAUGAUUGUUCUUCAGCUUUUGGCCAAGGUCAGACAGGUACUUAGCACUUCUGAAAUGCAAACUCAAGGCAGGUUGUGUUGAACAUCUAAGCUUGGAGAAGACUGUCGGGAAAGCUGAUGGAAAUGAUGUGCUUAAAUAUUAGUGUCUCCCAAGCGAAGAAGUGGCAUGGACCCCUGGCAAGGUGACAGCGGCAGAGGGAGAACCACUGGACAAGUCCUCCCUUACAGUGCUGGAUGUGCUUGUUCUUGCUGGCCAGGUCCCUGAGGAGCCACAAUGAACAGCUCCUCAAGCAAUCAGUGUAACUAUUGACUGACCUGAGGGCAGUCCCCAACCCACUGUGGGUUUGGCAGGAUCCCUGGAAGAGGCAGGGGAUGAGCUGGUUGGAGGCUGAUGAAGAUUUGGAUGUGAAGGGACACAGAUCCCCCUAAGGAGCUAUCAGGAGAAUGGAGAUGAAGCACAUCCAUGAAAAGGCUGGCUGGUUGGGAUCACAUCCGUGAAGAAACAUGCUCACUGACAAGCAGGUUAGAGAAGAAACAGCACUUGGCUACCCAUGGCAUGGAUUUCAAGUCAACCACGAAUGGCUCCGAGCUUGGCAGGGGACUCGGGCAGCGGCUGGUGGGUUCUGAGGGGGAAGGAGCACUGUGGCUUCCCAGGAAUGUUGCAGGCAAACCCUGGAUGUGCACAGGUGCCUACAGCCAUGAGCUCUGCAAGCCACAUCCAACUGUACUUCUUCACGUUCUGUGUUCCUCACCAUAUCUGCUGCUUUUAUUACGACUAAAUCAUUUUUAUGUUUUGCUAAGGCAUAGUAAGAAACUGAUAAAACUAAGUGAUAAUUUAGACAGCUAUUUGAAGUUACAUUAAACUUUACAUUCAUAGAAGACAAGUGGAUAAACCAGUCUCAAAAAGGUAAACCUUUUACUACAGUGUAUAAAGAUAAAUGGUUUUCCCUAUAUUUUGAAAUGGGAUACCUACAAAUAUUAAUGUAACAGAUUCCCUGCUAGCCAGUCUGUAUUACAGAUUUGUUUCAUUAAAAUUCACAACAGUAUAAAUCUAUGAAUCUUUAACUGUAUUUGUACUUCCUUGAGCAGAGGCUGCACAUCCUCUUAAGAUCUUCCGAUCUUAAUUAUCUUUGUUCUUCUAACUAUAUAGGACUUCUGUACUCAACUCUCUCAUCACCUCGAUUGACAAAUUAAGUAAAUAAAGAAGUCUGGUUUAUUUUGAUGUAAUUAAAUUCACUGUGUAAGACUUGAAAGAAUAUUUAAAAUUAAUCAGUAAAUUUAGGCAGAGAAAAAAAACCCCAAACAAACAGAUACUGAAACGCAGCAACACAAAAAAAAAAUAAUGGAAAUUAAAAACCAGUUUGUGUUCUCUUAGACCUAUUCCUCCACUAAGUAAAAGCACUAAAAAAAUAUUCUGUACAUUGCAGAAUAGAUCAGCCUAGCAUUUGUCCCAGAUUUUUUUAAUCUCCCAAAUUCCUAUUUGCAGAUAAAUGUUAUUUUUUGUGAUCCUUACAGACAUUAAUGAAGUUCCUAUUGUAAAUCUAUAAAGAAUUACCAACUGAAGUGUGCACUUUUUGUUUCAUUGCAAUAACUCAGUGCUGUGUGAUUGCCUGGGUUAAUGAUGAAAAAGUCAAAUAUACUAUCAGAGCUGAUGGAAAAAUCUAUCACCAAUCUGAAAUUAAAAUUCAUCUGUGGUCAAUAAGAUUUAAUAUCCAUGCAAGUGGCGCUGUAAAGAGUAAAUGAAUCAAUGUCAUCAAUACAUAAUCAGUAUGAAAUAUGAUGUGAAUACAAUUAUGUGCAAGAGUCAUACAUUCACUCUUUUCUGGACCAGGGUGGAAUGAACAGUCUCUUAACUCAAGGUUGACAGUAAUUGUUACAAAUUAGGCACAGCAGUUAUCAAAAUGCACUCACUUGCAUAGCUUUAGGACUUAUUAAGGAGAUUAAAAUAGAUCUAAAACUAUCUAGUUUCAGAGUUACAGGACAACUGUUGAGCAGAAAAUUUUUUUCUUGUUCUCUACAUGAUUCGUACAGUCAUUAUUUACUUAUUUAGCUAGAAACCAAGAGCUAUCAACCACAGAGAUGCACAAUCUCUAGUUGAGCUAUUAGUGUUAUGGAGUGAUAAGAAAAUAGCAGUUUGGUUUUUAAAUCUGAGUUAUGACAUACAAAACAGACAAGAAAAUACUUCUGAAAGAGAACUCCAGCAUGCUCCCUCAUCUAAAACCUUAAUAUUAAAGUGAAAUACAUUCAUUUACUUCAGGAACCUUCUCUUCACAAGACAUUUAUUUCCAUAUUAAAGUAUCUAAUUUUCCUCCCACAGAAUCCUGCUCCCUUGUAGCCUUUAAUUGAAAAUUAUAAAAUAAAAUACUUCUCUUUGUUAAGAGUUUAUAUUAAUGUAUGCUCUCCAUUUCACUUUGUACAUAAGGAGUUCAACAGCUGUACAGGUGCUCAUGCCCAAACCAAAGGAAACUGACUUACCCUGUAUGUCAUAUUUAAAUGGUUAGUAUUUU